rnacentral:lncRNA from 1 species
GAUAUCAAGGGAAUCCGAGCAAAGCUCAUUGGAUUGCGGUCAAGAAUAUACAUAAGUACCUUCGGAGGACCAAAAAAUGGUUUUUAGUCCUCGGAGGGAGUGAUGACUUAAAGGUGUGAGGGUAUAGUGACGCCAGUUUCCAGACCNGUCAAGAAUAUACAUAAGUACCUUCGGAGGACCAAAAAAUGGUUUUUAGUCCUCGGAGGGAGUGAUGACUUAAAGGUGUGAGGGUAUAGUGACGCCAGUUUCCAGACCGACAGGGACAAAUACCGUUCGCAGUCAGGCUGGGUCUUUACCCUUAAUGGAGGAGCAGUGACUUGGAAAAGUUCCAAACAAGAAACCGUAGCUGAUUCAACGUGCGAAUCAGAGUACAUUGCAGCGAGCGAAGCGUCAAAGGAGGCGAUGUGGUUGAAGAACUUCAUUGGUGAUUUUGGAAUUGUGCCUGCCAUAAAGGAGCCUACGGAAAUUUUCUGUGAUAAUGAAGGAGCGGUUGCCUUGACCAAGGAACCGAGGGAUCAUGGUAGAUCUCGACAUAUUGACAGAAAAUAUCACUUUAUUAGACAUCAAGUAGAAGAAGGACACCUCGUAGUAAAGAGGGUAUCGUCGGAGGAUAACCCAGCAG